GGACGAACGCUGGCGGCGUGCUUCAUACAUGCAAGUCGAACGAGAAGUUACCUUCGGGUAAUGGAAAGUAGGCGGACGGGUGAGUAAUGUGUAGAGAAUCUGCCCUAGAGUGGGGGACAACAGUUGGAAACGACUGCUAAUACCGCAUAUGAGCGUAGCUGGAAUGCUAUUCUUGAAAACUUCGGUGCUCUGGGAUGAGUCUGCAUCUGAUUAGCUAGUUGGCGGUGUAAUGGACCACCAAGGCGACGAUCAGUAGCUGGUUUGAGAGGAUGAUCAGCCACAAUGGGACUGAGACACGGCCCAUACUCCUACGGGAGGCAGCAGUAGGGAAUUUUGCGCAAUGGGCGAAAGCCUGACGCAAGCAACGCCGCGUGAUUGAAAAAAGCCCUUCGGGGUGUAAAGAUCUGUCAGUAGGGACGAAACUUGACGGUACCUACAGAGGAAGCAUCGGCUAACUCCGUGCCAGCAGCAGC
rnacentral:rRNA from 1 species